rnacentral:rRNA from 1 species
AAAUUGAAGAGUUUGAUCAUGGCUCAGAUUGAACGCUGGCGGCAGGCCUAACACAUGCAAGUCGAACGGUAACAGGAAGCAGCUUGCUGCUUUGCUGACGAGUGGCGGACGGGUGAGUAAUGUCUGGGAAACUGCCUGAUGGAGGGGGAUAACUACUGGAAACGGUGGCUAAUACCGCAUAACGUCGCAAGACCAAAGAGGGGGACCUUCGGGCCUCUUGCCAUCRGAUGUGCCCAGAUGGGAUUAGCUGGUUGGUGAGGUAACGGCUCACCAAGGCGACGAUCCCUAGCUGGUCUGAGAGGAUGACCAGCCACACUGGAACUGAGACACGGUCCAGACUCCUACGGGAGGCAGCAGUGGGGAAUAUUGCACAAUGGGCGCAAGCCUGAUGCAGCCAUGCCGCGUGUAUGAAGAAGGCCUUCGGGUUGUAAAGUACUUUC